GUACUUGCUUCGGCAUUACAUAUACUAAAAUUGGAACGAUACAUAGAAGAUUAGCAUGACCCCUGCGCAAGUAUGACACGCAAAAUCGUGAAGCGAUCCACACUUUC